GACGCAGGUUGUGAUAAAGGGGAAGAGAGCCUGCGUACUUUCAGUCAACGGAUCGACACUGAGGCCACGGGCACUUGCCAUUGGAUUUAGGACCUGGGCAGGGUCCAGGGAUUAGGACGCGGAUAGACCUUGCGCAUGGCCCCCAUUCAGCCCGCCACGGAUGGGAACGUGCGUGUCGUGUUGUUCGGUGUGGCUGGAGCUCAAGGAGCCGGAAGAAAGGAUGACGGAGGCCACGCGAAGAGUACGUGCUCAACACGUAAUCACCUUCCGGCCACGCUGCGCUGUCGCCGUUUACAGAUGAAGGAAGCUGAGGCCAACCUGUUAGGUGACCCCGGCUGGUCACAGAGUUGGGGAACAGGGAGCGGAGGGGCAGGACCCGGCACCCAGGCCCUGCCCCUGCACAGCCCACGCCGGGUCCUUUCUCACCGCCAUCCUGGGGCCCAGACCAGAGUAGGCACAUGGCGGGGGGGGGGGGGGGGGGGGGGGGGGGGGGAGGGGGAGGUCAAUGCCUCGUUGCUCUUUGUCGGUGAGCAGGCUCUCCAGGUCCUCAACCUCUCGGGCACCGGAGGGCAAGGACGGUGCUCCAUGUACCCCAGUUGUCGGGGUCUGAGAAUAGGUUUCUAGCCGUCGACAGAAGUGGCCGGAAAGUCUGCGCCCAGCCCUGUACCAGCCGGCCUCUUCCUGCCCUCCUGCCAGGUGGGCCACCAGCCCUUCCCUGCCGCCAUCACACCCGUCAUCCUGCGCCAGCGGCCCCGCGCUUCCUGCCUUCUCUUCCCGGCCGGCCCGUGUGUCAGGCCCAGGGCAGCCAAACAAGCGCUUCCCCAGACUCCUAGUUUGGCCAGGUUGGUGGAGGUGAGAAGAGGCAGGGAGCCAGUAGGGGAGCUUGCUGGGGAGGGGACAACCCACCUAGGCAUUUGAGAGGCCACGCGCCAGAGUGUGCGGGCAAGCUGACCCUGGCAUCCGGCAGACAGCGGCCCUCGCGAGCGUCUGAGCAGGGCCGUGUGCUGAAGGGCACUCCGGGCCGGCGGGUCUACACCGCGGGGCUGCGCCCGGGGCGCCGCCUCACUCAGCCUGGAAGGCUCAGCCUGCGCCGCUGGAAAGGGCAGUCAAAUGCAAAUGUGGCACGAGAUUCCCCGUCGGGAGACCUUUCUCUUGUCCCUUCCUCAGAGCACCUGGGUGAGAACCCUAAAUAAGCCUCUGGCCAGCCUUUCGGCCCAGGAAGGUUCUUCUUAAGGGCCCCUUUGAAAUGCAAACCCCGAGGAGAGUAGGCCCCUAGCGCCGGCUGCACUGAGAAAGCUGUCAUGGUCCUUAGGAUAAAGGGAACGCGAGGGCACAGAAGGCCCCCCUGACUACCAGGUGAACUGGCCGCCAGCUAGGACGGCGAUCUUGAGAAGUGUGCAAGGUUUUGUACACUAAUUAUACCCCAAUAAAGCUGGGAUGAAAAAUAAAAUUUCAUUUUCGGGGCGGCUGGGUGGCUUAGUCGGUUACGCAUCCGACUUCGGCUCAGGUCAUGAUCUCACAGUCCGUGAGUUCG